UUAAUUUCAGGGAAUGACCGAGUUCAUCAAUUGACUGGAUUGGGAAACAACGUUCUUAGAAUAUAUUUUGAAGACUGGGAAGGAAACAGUCGUUAUGCUGUUUUCAAUAGUUUUUCUCUCGGUGAUGAAGUCUCAAACUAUAUUUUGUCAUAUGGUUCAUACAGUGGUAAUGCAGGUAUAUACUCACAUAUGAUAAAUGGAAAACAUAUUUGAAUAUCCCCAAAACAUUUUCAGGAAUAGAAAUAAUACUUCGUCGUAAUGAGUUCCAAAUGAUUUACAAAAGAACAUUAUCACCAAUGCUCUUCAACUUUGUACUUGUUUGGCUUUAUAAAUAUUUUGAUAUGAGCGUCACUGAUGAUUCUUAUGUAGACGAAACGCGCGUCUGGCGUACUAAAUUAUAAUCCUGGUACCUUUGAUAACUAUCAUAUACUAGUAUUGAUGAAAAGUAAUAUACAUAGUAAUUAGCUUGAGGCAUAAAACUUAACACGAUUUAAGUGAUUAUCGAUUUUUACAAUUCGUUUUAUUUAACUAUGAACUGUUUAAAAUACUGUGGCUUGAAACUGAAUCAAUUACUGUUUGAAAAGAGAAAAAAGAUAAAUGUCAGCUCUUUGUAUAGCAUUCGUAAAUUCAUGUCAACAGGAACUUAGUUCUAAGUAAUAGAGUUAAGAAGAUAAUCUUAUCUUUUUUUAAUACAUUUUCUGUAGAUUAAAUUAAUGCUCGUUUAAUUUGUUUUUUGUUAUUUUAUACUUCAAGUUAACAAACAAACAGCGAUUUAAAAAAACAACAUUAUAUUAAUGAUUUUUUAAAACAAAAUUUAAUGUUUGCAUUUGUUUUGUAGUUGAUGAUACGCUUUAUUUAGUUCAGUAAUUAAAAUUUAUUAAUAAUUAAUAUGUUGACACUAUUACUCUGAAUUAUGAAUUAUUGAGUUUCACGUCAAAUGCAUCGGUUGCUCCUUUCAUCAAAAUACAUGUAUGUAGUUGUACUACAAACAUAACUCAAUAUAUAUAUGGUCCUCAAAAGAUAUGACAAAAAAACUAGUGUUAGGGUAAAUGAAAAAAGAAACAGAUUACAUAAAAGGAUUUUCUGACUGGGUCAGUGACUUAUAUCUUUUUGGAAUAACUACAGAGAGUAGUAAGGGUUACAUUUCGUUCAGAAAUGACAAACUAUUAAUUUUUAAAAUAUUCAUAAAACCCAGUUGAUCAAGCGAAUGUCAGUCACAAUGUAUGUCUAUCUAUUACAGGAAACAGUUUGGCUAAUAAUGUGAAAUUUACAACAGCAGACAGACAAAAUGACGGUCGUCCGAAGAGAGCCAAUUGUGCAAAAAGAUCAUUAUGGAGGACCGUGGUGGUAUCCCAAUGAUUGUGGUUAUUCCGAUCUUAAUGGAGAGUAUGUUAAUGGUGGUAAAGGUUUACUGUCUGGACACGGCUUGGUUUGGAAUGAUUGGAAGGGAUUUGGCUACUCAAUGAAAGUUACAAAAAUGAUGAUGAAUAAAUGAAACAAAUAACCGUAACUUAGUUGUACUGUUUCACAGUGUCCAAUUUACUGUCAGUUGCUAUAUACUGGCGUUGUAAAAGUAUUGGACAACUUUUAAUAAAUGAUCAUGUUGUAUAUAAAAUCAAUAUAUAAUAAAGCAAAAACCUCGGUCUAAACAAAACACACGAUGGUAUUAUAUUUUGUUUCCGUAGCAAUGUUAUCAGGUAUGCACAGACAUAACAAUCUUUGCGUUAUACUAAUAGUUCGAAAGGUUUGUAUUGGAUUUUUCAUUUUUGUACUUUGAACUUUGUACUUAAUUAACUUCUUUUAUUUACGGAAAUAUCGUGUGUUAAUACUUAGCAACACAUAGACUGAAAACUGCUACGGAACACUAUAAGCUUCUGAAAUUUACACUAGAUUUCCUGACCUACAACAAAACAUCCAUAAGUGAAGCUUGACGCUUAUUUAUAAUGAGGCA
rnacentral:lncRNA from 1 species